GACGAACGCUGGCGGCGUGCUUAACACAUGCAAGUCGAACGGAAAGGCCCUGCUUUUGUGGGGUGCUCGAGUGGCGAACGGGUGAGUAACACGUGAGUAACCUGCCCCUGACUUUGGGAUAACUUCAGGAAACUGGGGCUAAUACCGGAUAGGAGCUCCUGCUGCAUGGUGGGGGUUGGAAAGUUUCGGCGGUUGGGGAUGGACUCGCGGCUUAUCAGCUUGUUGGUGGGGUAGUGGCUUACCAAGGCUUUGACGGGUAGCUGGCCUGAGAGGGUGACCGGCCACAUUGGGACUGAGAUACGGCCCAGACUCCUACGGGAGGCAGCAGUGGGGAAUAUUGCACAAUGGGCGGAAGCCUGAUGCAGCAACGCCGCGUGCGGGAUGACGGCCUUCGGGUUGUAAACCGCUUUCGCCUGUGACGAAGCGUGAGUGACGGUAAUGGGUAAAGAAGCACCGGCUAACUACGUG
rnacentral:rRNA from 1 species